rnacentral:rRNA from 1 species
UACAGAGGGGGCAAGCGUUAUUCGGAAUUAUUGGGCGUAAAGGGCGCGUAGGCGGCUAUUCAAGUGGCGGGUGAAAUCCCCCGGCUUAACCGAGGAACUGCCUGGCAGACUGGAUGGCUUGAGACCGGGAGAGGUGAGUGGAAUUCCCAGUGUAGCGGUGAAAUGCGUAGAUAUUGGGAGGAACACCAGUGGCGAAGGCGGCUCACUGGACCGGUACUGACGCUGAGGCGCGAAAGCGUGGGGAGCAAACAGG